rnacentral:rRNA from 1 species
ACUCAAAUGAAUUGACGGGGCCCCGCACAAGCAGCGGAGCGUGUGGUUUAAUUCGAUGCAACGCGAAGAACCUUACCUGGGCUUGACAUCUACUUGCAACCUCUUGAAAGAGAGGCCUCUUCGGACAGGUAGACAGAUGUUGCAUGGCUGUCGUCAGCUCGUGUCGUGAGAUGUUGGGUUAAGUCCCGCAACGAGCGCAACCCUUGUCUUUAGUUGGAUUUCUAGAGAGACUGCCGGAAACAAACCGGAGGAAGGUGGGGAUGACGUCAAGUCAGCAUGACUCUUACGUCCAGGGCUACACACACGCUACAAUGGCCGUUACAACGAGAAGCCAACCCGCGAGGGAGAGCAGACCUCUAAAAGGCGGCCCCAGUUCAGAUUGCACUCUGCAACCCGAGUGCAUGAAGUCGGAGUUGCUAGUAACCGCGUGACAGCAUAGCGCGGUGAAUAUGUUCCCGGGGCUUGUACACACCGCCCGU